rnacentral:lncRNA from 1 species
ACAAGGAGACGCUUCACAAAGCGAGAACCUGCCUGCUCCUUCAUGCACAGUUUUCAUUCGGUGCUAAAGCUGCAAAAAUGAGAUAAGCUGAAGCCAAAAGGUAUUUGGAAAGUGGAGAUGAAUAGGUCAGGAACUCUGUACUCUUUUUAAAGAACGUUAUCUAUUUGGCCUACUUAUUCUUUGGUCAUGAGUGCUUGAGGGAAGGCAAGGACGACAGGACAAAGAAGACUGGGAAUAACUGAAAACCUGGGCCUCAAAAGCAGUAGGGGAGAGGUGAUAUCUCCAGAGCAGCAGGACAGGCGAAUGGAGCAUUUGGUUCUC